rnacentral:rRNA from 1 species
GAUGAACGCUGGCGGCGUGCCUAAUACAUGCCAGUCGAGCGAACAGACGAGGAGCUUGCUCCUCUGACGUUAGCGGCGGACGGGUGAGUAACACGUGGAUAACCUACCUAUAAGACUGGGAUAACUUCGGGAAACCGGAGCUAAUACCGGAUAAUAUAUUGAACCGCAUGGUUCAAUAGUGAAAGACGGUUUUGCUGUCACUUAUAGAUGGAUCCGCGCCGCAUUAGCUAGUUGGUAAGGUAACGGCUUACCAAGGCGACGAUGCGUAGCCGACCUGAGAGGGUGAUCGGCCACACGAGAACGGAGACACGGUCCAGACUCCUACGGGAGGCAGCAGUAGGGAAUCUUCCGCAAUGGGCGAAAGCCUGACGGAGCAACGCCGCGUGAGUGAUGAAGGUCUUCGGAGCGUAAAACUCUGUUAUUAGGGAAGAACAAAUGUGUAAGUAACUAUGCACGUCUUGACGGUACCUAAUCAGAAAGCCACGGCUAACUACGUG